rfam:Sistotremastrum suecicum HHB10207 ss-3 unplaced genomic scaffold SISSTscaffold_35, whole genome shotgun sequence.
GCUGCCGUGGUGUAGUGGUAACAUCGCACCUUCCCAAGGUGUGGCGCCGGGUUCGAUUCCCGGCGGCAGCA